rnacentral:rRNA from 1 species
UACGUAGGCAGCAAGCGUUGUUCGGAGUUACUGGGCGUAAAGAGUGCGUAGGUGGUGCCCUAAGUCUGUUGUGAAAUCUCCCGGCUUAACUGGGAGGGUGCGGUGGAAACUGGGGUGCUUGAGUGUGGGAGAGGUAAGCGGAAUUCCUGGUGUAGCGGUGAAAUGCGCAGAUAUCAGGAGGAACACCGGUGGCGAAGGCGGCUCACUGGGCCGGUCCUGACGCUGAGACGCGAAGGCGUGGGGAGCGAACGGG